rnacentral:rRNA from 1 species
UACAGAGGGUGCAAGCGUUGUUCGGAAUCACUGGGCGUAAAGGGUGCGUAGGCGGGUUUUUAAGUCAGAGGUGAAAUCCUGGAGCUCAACUCCAGAACUGCCUUUGAUACUGAAAGUCUUGAGUAUGGGAGAGGUGAGUGGAACUGCGAGUGUAGAGGUGAAAUUCGUAGAUAUUCGCAAGAACACCAGUGGCGAAGGCGGCUCACUGGCCCAUUACUGACGCUGAGGCACGAAAGCGUGGGGAGCAAACAGG